rnacentral:rRNA from 1 species
GGGGGGGGGGGGGGGGGGGGGGGGGGGGGGGGGGUCGGGGGGGGAGGGGGGGGGCGGGGGGCUGGGGCGGGAGCGGCGGGGGGGGGGGGAAGACGGGGGUGACCGACCUGUAGGCCGGGGGGAACGUCGGGAAACCGGAGCUCAUCACGGAUACAAUAUUGAACCGCAGGGUCCGAUAGUCGAAGAGGGGGUUGCUGUGACUAGUCGCCGGAUCCGCGCCGCAUUAGCUAGUUGGUAAGGUAACGGCGUACCAAGGCAACGAUGCGUAGCCGACCGGCGAGGGGGAUCGGCCACACUGGAACUGAGACACGGUCCAGACUCCUACGGGAGGCAGCAGUAGGGAAGCUUCCGCAAUGGGCGAAAGCCUGACGGAGCAACGCCGCGUGAGUGAUGAAGGUCUUCGGAUCGUAAAACUCUGUUAUUAGGGAAGAACAAAUGUGUAAGUAACUAUGCACGUCUUGACGGUACCUAAUCAGAAAGCCACGGCUAACUACGUG